ACAGAAAGAAUAAAGUAAAAAGAUUUAAGUAGGUCUAUCAGGUACAACCUAUGAGUCAUUUCUUUUCUAAUAUACAGUACUGCUAUCUUGCAGAAAGAUAAGUCCUACGCUCACUCCCAUCACUACUGGACAGCAGCAAGGACUACAGUACACAUCAGCCCCAAUAUAUGGUAAAAACCAAAGAAAAACAAGUUACCUGCGUUCUCUCCUUAAUCCCUAUGUAUUUUUAAAACCUCCAUUUGUUUAAAAGUACUGCUAUCUUAUAUAUACACAUAUAUAUAUACACACACAUAUAUACAUACAUAUAUACAUAUAUACAUACACACACAUAUACAUGUACAUAUAUUGGUCACUCAGGACAUGAACUCACAUUUCCCAUACUGCUGAUUCAGAGUGGGGACACUACUAACUUACCAAAGUGUGUCCCCAAUAUAGACAAACAAUCACCCACAAAAAACACUUAAGACAAACAAAGGUGACCGGGAGAAAGAGAAGUUUGGGUUAUACUUAUAGAUCUACAAACCAUGCUGCUCAGAACACCUAUAGACUUAAUAAACCGGAGACUCUUAUGGUCUCAAAAACCUGUAUCUACCUGAGAUACCCUGUAUCUAUCUUAGAUACUAACCUGGGUUACCAAAAC
rnacentral:lncRNA from 1 species